GGUGCUGUAGACAAAUUGGUAAAGUCACCUGCCUUUCACGUAGGGGUUUGCGGGUUCGAUCCCCGUCAGCACUG
rnacentral:tRNA from 1 species